UAGUAUAAUACAUUGAGACAUAGAAGAAUAUGAUUUGUCAGUUAAUGCAUCUUAGAUCUGAGAUAUGACGUCCAAAAAAGGGUCAACUUGAACAGAGACUUUGCUGCUGAAUGUAUUAGCCGCCGGCAGUACACCCAAGACUUUGCAGGAAUCCAAUUGUAUUUGAAGAACGGUUGCCAUUACCUGAACACAAAUCUUUACCUAGAAAAAAAAUAUAUUAGUUUAUACUUCUACACCAGAAGUCCUUGGAAGUUGGAAGUUUGGAAAGCAAUUACAAAAUAUUCUGUGUGAACAAUAACGGCUGUAUUUCCAGACUGAUGUG